UCAGCAAUCAAUCUCCUGAGAUCCCAAAAAGAAAAAAGAAGCAGCAAUCUAUCUACAGAAACGAUCCAUCCAACUUCUCUCUUACCCCAUUCCUUGAAGCUUGAACCAUGAUGAACUGGAGGAAGAGAUCCUUCCAUGCAUGACCCGAUCGGACUACAAUCUAGGAUGGGUGAUGCAGUGGAGAAGUGUUGAGUCGGAUCGAACUGCAGUCAUUGUUCCCGAGGGUGCAGGGUGGAGGAAGUACAACAGAUUGAUGGCAUCGCGGUGUCUCCGCCUCGGACAUCUCCCCAAGUCUUCGCUGCCUCCAGCAUGCUCCCCUUCCUCACCCACGCUCUUGGCGAAGGUCUCCAGUAUCCACUGCCCCCUUCACAUCCACAUCAAAUCCAAACUCAGCCAGCACAUCUCCGCACGUCAAGUCAUCUCCUUUCCUGGCCAAGGUCUCCACUGCGUUCUUUGUGCGAUGAUCGGCCACUGUGUUGCCGCCGGUUUCUUCUCCAAUGGCUUAUGAUCCUAUCUCAAAAACUCGAUCCCAGGAAAGCGUUGGGUCAGUUUAUUUCAAUUCAACCUACCCGAAUGUGACUGUAUGUAGCUUGGGGGGGUUGGUUGCAGAGGGGGCAAUGGAAGGAGGAUGGCCAUGCUAUGUUACGGGAGACUGACUAGGGGUGUCUUUUUGCGCUAUGAGACAAUAGUGUCUCCCUCUCUGAUCUGACCAGGAAUUGUAUGCUUUGUGACUGAAGACAAGAGACUGGUGUCACGGCGACUUGCAGCCACUCCGUCCUACGUACCACCAAGCUUUCAGUCUCUCGAUUUGUGCUAUUUUCAUAUUAACACUGCCAUUGGGGUAAAUCUAUGUUGUUUACUGAUCUAAUCAAGCUAUUAACAGGAUUCCAUGUUUCCUACAUUGCAUUAUCUGAUCAUUAGUAAUUCAACCAACAUUGUAUUAGUUGAAUGUUGAUCCUCUGAUAAUCUUAAUACACCCAUGGGUAGGAUUUGACGAAAUAGGGGAAAUAAAUAAAAAGGAGAAAUAUCACACGGUAUUCUCCUCUUCGAUUA